UACGUAGGGUGCAAGCGUUGUCCGGAAUUACUGGGCGUAAAGGGCGCGUAGGCGGUUCGAUAAGUCAGCUGUGAAAACCAUGGGCUUAACUCAUGGCCUGCAGUUGAGACUGUCGGGCUGGAGUGUGGGAGAGGAGAGUGGAAUUCCUGGUGUAGCGGUGAAAUGCGUAGAUAUCAGGAGGAACACCGGUGGCGAAGGCGGCUCUCUGGACCACAACUGACGCUGAGGCGCGAAAGCUAGGGGAGCAAACAGG
rnacentral:rRNA from 1 species